CAGCCGCCACGGGAAUACGUAGGGUGCAAGCGUUAAUCGGAAUUACUGGGCGUAAAGCGUGCGCAGGCGGUUAUAUAAGACAGUCGUGAAAUUCCCGGGCUCAACCUGGGAACUGCGAUUGUGACUGUAUGGCUAGAGUGUGUCAGAGGGGGGUAGAAUUCCACGUGUAGCAGUGAAAUGCGUAGAUAUGUGGAGGAAUACCGAUGGCGAAGGCAGCCCCCUGGGAUAACACUGACGCUCAUGCACGAAAGCGUGGGGAGCAAACAGGAUUAGAUACCCCCGUAGUCCCUGUCUCUUAUAC
rnacentral:rRNA from 1 species